AUUUAAGCAUAUCAAUAAGCGGAGGAAAAGAAACUAACAAGGAUUCCCUUAGUAGCGGCGAGCGAACAGGGAUAAGCCCAGAACCGAAUCCUGCGGAGCAAUCUGCUAGGAAAUGUGGUCUUUGGUUCAGUUCUUACGGCGUACUGGAGUUGUUCUAAGUCCACGUGAUUGUGGCUUAUUUCCCAGAGAGGGUGUAAGGCCCGUAUGAACAACACAGUGUGUAUAGGAACUGUUCCUAGAGUCGGGUUGUUUGGGAAUGCAGCCCAAAUAGGGUGGUAAACUCCAUCCAAGGCUAAAUACAACACGAGUCCGAUAGCGAACAAGUACCAUGAGGGAAAGUUGAAAAGAACUUUGAAGAGAGAGUUCAACAGUGCGUGAAACCGCUUAGAGGUAAACGGGCAGAGCUGAAGGUAGGACAGCAUAUUGGUUUCUUUGAUGCGGCUCCUGUGCAGUUGCCACGGCUGACCGGGCUCCUGUGCAGAUGUGUCCGUUGUCAUUGAGCUAUUGUGUUGACCUGACACCACGGUCGGUAAGUAGGCUGGCCUAGCGUAUGGAGGAAGGUGACUCGGACUGAUCUGAGUGUUAUAGACUCCGUGCCUAGCGUUAGCUGAUUACCGUUUUGCAUGUUGCCAUUGUUUUGCAUAUGGUAUAUAGCAGGUGGGUCUGGAUUCGGUGUAUGGUUUAAUAUGCCGAUGUGUUUUGCUUGCCUGCUGUGUGCCCUCUGUGUGAGACAUAGUAACUGUGGUGCAAUUGUAGGUUUCUGCCCGACCCGUCUUGAAACACGGACCAAGGAGUUUAACAUGUGCGCGAGUCAUUGGGUUCUACGAAACCUAAAGGCGUAGUGAAAGUAAAGGCUUGCCUUUCGCAGGCCGUGGUAGGAUCUCGGUAUCAAUGCGUGCUGACAUGCAUGAUCUGAGCGCACUACCAGCUCGUCCCAUGCUUUAUUAAGCGGGGCGACGCAAGAGCGCACAUGUUGAGACCCGAAAGAUGGUGAACUAUGCUUGCGUAGGUUGAAGCCAGAGGAAACUCUGGUGGAGGACCGUAGCGAUUCUGACGUGCAAAUCGAUCGUCAAACGUGAGUAUAGGGGCGAAAGACUAAUCGAACCAUCUAGUAGCUGGUUCCCCUCGAAGUUUCCCUCAGGAUAGCUGGCACUCGGGAAACAAACAGUUUUAUCCGGUAAAGCGAAUGAUUAGCAGUAUUGGGGAUGAAAUAUCUUCAACUGAUUCUCAAACUUUAAAUGGGUGAGACGCUUAACUCUCUUAAAUUUGGAGUUGGGCAUUGAAUGUGAGUGCCUAGUGGGCCAUUUUUGGUAAGCAGAACUGGCGCUGUGGGAUGAACCAAACGUCUGGUUAAGGAGCCAAACACGACGCUCAUCAGAAACCACAAAAGGUGUUGGUUGAUUUUGACAGCAGGACGGUGGCCAUGGAAGUCGGAAUCCGCUAAGGAGUGUGUAACAACUCACCUGCCGAAUCAACCAGCCCUGAAAAUGGAUGGCGCUUGAGCGUUGGUCCUAUACCAGACCGUUACCACGAAUUGCAGAGUAUGUGGUAACGAGUAGAGGGGCGCUGUGGUAAGCAUUGAAGCCUAGGUCGUGAGACCGGGUGGAGCUGCCACGGGUGCAGAUCUUGGUGGUAGUAGCAAAUAUUCAAGUGAGAACCUUGAAGACUGAUGUGGAGAAGGGUUC
rnacentral:rRNA from 1 species